AAAAAAAGCCGCACUAAAAACUUGACAUUUCUCUUUAUUUCACAAUCUGAGACUUAGAUAACAAGUAUCAUGAACUUUUGAUUCUGUGUUGCUCUUAAUAACUCCCAAUUUAAUUACAAGGGCUAUUUAAAAAUUCACACAUUUAUGCUGAGAAUGAAUUACAUAUGGUUUCUAGACUCAAGUAAAAUGAACACAAGUACUAUGUACAGUAUCAUGGUAGGUAAACUGCUUGUUAAUUUUUUUUUUCCAGAUCAGUUUACAUAGUGUAACUAUAGCUUUAUUUUAUCUACCUUUAAGCUCAAUUCACCCAACAGUAAAGGAUCUUAACUGGUAACAAGUCUAGAUGACUGAUAAGAUAGCAUCACGUGGUACAAAUGGAGGCUUCAUUCUCUCUCUUUUUUUAAAGAAACCUCUUUAGACAGGCACUUGACUCAAAGACACUUUUGGACACCAGAAGCCUAAGGCACUGUUUCUGAUCCACUGAUGACAAAAAUAAAUGAUUUCAAGCUGAGAAACAUUUUCUCCCACAGGAUAAGGAUAAUUUUAUUCAUGGACAAAAUCCCCUAUAGAGGAGAUCUUAUAAUCACAUCACCUAUUACCAUAAUCAUCAAAUAUAUACAACAUCUAGGUCCAAUUAAUGGAAGAUGGGACCAUAUGGUUGUCAGUUACAGUGACGUGGUAAGAAGAUCAUGCUUUGUGUCUUCAGUCCAAGUGCUUUACAACCAUGAAGCUUCUCAGUACCUUUGCGAACUAGUGCAGAUGAACCUUUGUGGAAAUAUCUCUCCAGAAACAUUCAUUUUUGUGAUGAAAGGCUAUCACCAUAGAAUUUCCAUCACCCAGUGAACCUGCAUACAUAAUAGCCAGAGGAUGCCAAUCUGUGGAUUUUGAUUUAUUACAAGGAGCAAAUAAUGUCCUCCCAUUUGAGGCAGUCCUAACUUCAGUUUUAAGAUGUCAUCCUGCUACCUGAUGUUGAUUAAAUAUGACAUCCUGUUAUCACAAAGGACACUUUCCAGAGACCAAGUAUGACAGCAAAAGCCAAGUCAUGUCUGAUUCAUCAGUUUUGGGAAGAACAUAGGCUUUUCACUGAAUAAUUUCCAUCUAUUCCUUGGUUAGAAACGGGGUUUUACCAUGUUGUCCAGUCUGGUCUCAAACUCUUGGCCUCAAGUGAUCCACCCACCUCAGCCUCCCAAAGUGCUAGGAUUACAGGUAUGAGACACUGCACCCGGCCUCUGAUUCCUUUUUAACUCCCUACAGUUACUAGUACACAGUGCCUUCCAUCCAGAUUCUCAA